rnacentral:rRNA from 1 species
GAUGAACGCUGGCGGCGUGCCUAAUACAUGCAAGUCGAGCGAACAGACGAGGAGCUUGCUCCUCUGACGUUAGCGGCGGACGGGUGAGUAACACGUGGAUAACCUACCUAUCAGACUGGGAUAACUUCGGGAAACCGGAGCUAAUACCGGAUAAUAUAUUGAACCGCAUGGUUCAAUAGUGAAAGACGGUUUUGCUGUCACUUAUAGCUGGAUCCGCGCCGCAUUAGCUAGUUGGUAAGGUAACGGCUUACCAAGGCAACGAUGCGUAGCCGACCUGAGAGGGUGAUCGGCCACACUGGAGCGGGGACGCGGACCAGGCGCCUGCGGGAGGCAGCAGUAGGGAAUCUUCCGCAGUGGGCGAAAGCAUGACGGAGCAACGCCGCGUGAGUGAUGAAGGUCUUCGGAUCGUAAAACUCUGUUAUUAGGGAAGAACAAAUGUGUAAGUAACUAUGCACGUCGUGACGGUACCUAAUCAGAAAGCCACGGCUAACUACGUG